AUGGAUUCAUGCAGUCUAUAUCAAACAACAACAUUUGGAGAACCUUACUGCCCCAAAACAUGCUAGUUGGAUGGUCAGGAAGAUUGUGGAGGGUAUUAAGCUUUUACAACAACAUCAACUGCUGUAUAAAUCUGACUGCACCAUAAGGAAACUAUACUUACAACAGAUUGGAGAGACACCUAGAGUCCCUUGGAAGAAUUUGGUAAUACAGAAUGCUGCUCGACCUAAAGCAAUCUUCAGUUUGUGGCUGUUACUGCAAGAUAGACUCCCUACCAAGAAUAGGCUGCUGCAAUGGAAUCUGAAUGUAUCAGGCAACUGUGUUAUGUGCCAGCAAGCUAUGGAAACUAGAGAUCACUUAUUCUUGCAAUGCACCUUUGCAUCCCAGCUGAGAUACCAAACACUACAAUGGAUUGGAGUUGAAGAUUUCACUGGGCACCAAGAACAGGCUGCUGCAAUGGAAUCUGAAUGUAUCAGGCAACUGUGUCAUGUGCCAGCAAGAUAUGGAAACUAGAGAUCACUUAUUCUUGCAAUGCACUUUUGCAUCCCAACUGAGAUACCAAACAUUACAAUGGAUUGGAGUUGAAGAGUUCACUGGACAGGAUUGGUCACAAUUUGCUCAAUGGUUCAUUGAGCAAUCUAAAGGGAAAUCUCCUCGAGCUCACAUAAUCAAGAUGACAGUAACUGAAAUGCUCUAUGGUUUAUGACUAGAAAGAAAUGCGAGAAUCUUUGAAAAUACCUAUUAUAACUGUGAUAAGCUCCUCAGUAGUAUAGCCUAUAUAUGUAAUGUUCGAGCUCCUCCUAG
rnacentral:lncRNA from 1 species